CCUUUGGGGGACGGUUGAGGAAGAAGGUGCAAGAUUGAUUAACUGCCUUAUCGUCCUGCAGAAGAAGAUUGUUCUACAGAGCUAAAGCUUAGGAAGAUCUAACUGUUGCAAUGAAUUAAUUAUGUAACACCUGAUCACCUACCAAGCAGGUGGUAAUUAUUUUCAGGAGGAGAACUAAUGAUCAGCUAAUAGACCACAUGGAAGAUUCUAAGAAGUGGAAGUUUUCCAUUUUUGCUUGCAUAUUGACUUGAUAUUAGCAGGCAGACUGGUUUUCUGCAUGAAAUAUAACUAACUAUUGAAGAUGGUGAAUGAUGGAAGCCACCCUAUCUGGAAUCUGACAUCGUGGAAAGUGGGAGAAAAAAAGAGACAUUGGUUAAGGGUGAUAUUAUGGAGUUCCCAGACUAAAUCUGUUUUGUGAAU